CGCACCUCUCAGUAACACGUGGCUAACCUGCCCUUGGGACGGGACCAACCCCGGGAAACUGGGGCUAAUCCCCGAUAGGCGAAGAACUCUGGAAUGAGUCUUCACCCAAAAGGCGUCAGAUCAUGCUUCUGGCGUCGCCCAAGGAUGGGGCCGCGACCGAUCAGGUUGUUGGUGAGGUAAUGGCCCACCAAGCCUAUAACCGGUGCGGGCCGUGAGAGCGGGAGCCCGGAGAUGGGCACUGAGACAAGGGCCCAGGUCCUACGGGGCGCAGCAGUCGCGAAAACUUUGCAAUACACGAAAGUGUGACAGGGUCAUCCCGAGUGCCGACCGCUGAGGUUGGCUUUUACCCAGUCUAGAAAGCUGGGGGAAUAAGGAGAGGGCAAGUCUGGUGUCAGCCGCGCGGUAUACCGCUCUCUCCGAGUGGUGUGGACGUUUAUUGGGCCUAAAGCAUCCGUAGCUGGCUGAACAAGUCCCCUGUUAAACCCACCGAUUUAAUCGAUGGUCUGCGGGGGAUACUGCUCGGCUAGGGGACGAGAGAGGCAGGCGGUAUUCCCGGGGUAGGGGUGAAAUCCUAUAAUCCCGAGAAGACCACCAGUGGCGAAGGCUGCCUGCUAGAACGCGCCCGACGGUGAGGGAUGAAAGCUGGGGGAGCGAACC
rnacentral:rRNA from 1 species